rnacentral:misc_RNA from 1 species
CCUCCCCAACCUGCAGACAUAAAGCAAAGGUGGAUAAAUGAGAGAUGUACGUGGAUAAAUGAGAGAUGUACUAUGUAGUUUCUUGCCCAAUUAAAAUCUAAAUCUUAUUUUCAGAAAUAUAAAACUUUAAAACCAGUUCCAGUUUUCCACCAGGAAAUCUGAGUCUCAAACUGAAAAACAAGGUUUGCACCAGAAGAAAUUCUUAACAAGAGCACAGCUACCUUCUCUUAAUCAG